rnacentral:ncRNA from 2 species
UUCUUAUCGAGAGAGACAGAGAGAGUGGCCCGAUGAAGUCUCAGCAACCAGCUUAACAGUAUGGUGCUAAUUCCAAAGGGCAAGAUUUUGUCCUUACAGAUGAGAA